rnacentral:tRNA from 1 species
CCAAAGAUUGGUGAUUCCUAACCACCUCUAGUGA